rnacentral:lncRNA from 1 species
CUUGGUACACCUUUUGAGGAAGAAAUAAGUGUAGGUGCUCACGAUAUGGAUUAUAUAAAAACUCAGGAAAAUUACUGUAUAGAAGAAGAAAAUGAAGUAGAUGCGGUUAAUUUAGACGAAGAUAAUGAAAAUAUUGUUGAGAUAUCCGCAGUAGGAGAUGCUAACGUUAGAUCUGAAUCGGUUAAUCUCCUUCUCCGUCCUUCCAGUGCCUCAAGAUCUCGUAAAAAAACUAGUGUUACAUGACAAUUUUUUGAAUGUAUAUCAGAUAUUGAGGUGCAAUGCAAUAUUUAUCAACAAAUAUAUAAGCAUAGAAGUGGAGGCAAGCAAGGGGUACGGGUAUGUUAAUGAGACAUAUAGUUGAAAAUCACAAAAGAGAGUUAAAUAUUACACAAGGUGGUGGGGAUGUUGGUGGGCCAACGCAAACUAAAAUGGACCCAGCAACCGGUCACGUAGCGAAGAAGUAUAAUAAAUUGAG